UUUUAUAUUUCUCUUACACAGCUAAGAAAUCAAGGGCAAAUUAGUUUUCAUUCUUUUUUGUGUUUUGUAAUUCAGGAAGAUAGAUAGCUAUCUUCCUGAAUUACAAAACAUAUAAAAGAACUAUUAUUCUAGAAUACAGUAAGGCUUUAUAUAUAUUAUGCACACACAAUAUUCUAGACUAAUAGUCCACAAUAGUAGUAUUAUAAGGGCACAUUGUUUUGGACUAUUACUAUGGUAUAUUUUAAUGGAAGUUAGCGAAUGUAAAUAACAUACAUGAUUGGGGCCUAACGUUUUGAAUACCACCAUGGACCAUAUUCAGCUGUCCAGUAAAGCAGAUGCACUUCCUGCUGAUGUCAAAAGAACCAGAGCCUGAAGAAACACUACAUGUGUGGAAGAGCACCACAAAAUGAAAAUUGAAAUACACAUGCUGUGAAUGAAAAUGCAUAAUUUCAAGUAUAGGCAGGCCCGAUUUCUGAAAACACAUGCGUAACUAUGGGACUACUCACAUGUGUAAAGUCGCUGCUGUCCCUUCAUCAGCGCUUCUGUCUCAGAUUUCCAAUGCAGCAAAAUUCCUGGUGCUUCUGAACAUUUUGAAUGCCUUGCAGUUGGUAUGACAAAAAUGUGCAUUUGAAAGGAUAUAAAGAGAUGAGUGACUGUUUAAAAUGGGGCAUUAGCAUGACAGUUGACAAAGGCAUGGUAUAUUGUUGGAUCCCACUGGUUUCUAAUGCUCGUUAAUGAGAACAAGUAUUCCUUGAUCAGAGUCACAGAUAGUUGCCUCAAAUAUUCUUCACAUAGACAUUGGAUGUAUUUCACAUUUUGAAAACAUUGUAUAUAUGUUCAUAUAGUUUUUGCUUCAGAACAUUUUUGGUUGUUUUCUUUGGUGAUUGACAAGUGACCUGAACCUUUUCCUGUACUUUUGUUAUGUUUACUUGAUUUCCCCAGCCUCCCUUCCCUGUAGGUGCAGUAAUAAUGCUCUGGCAUGCAUGUGCAAUCCUGUACAGCCUGAGAUCUCCAAUAAAGAGCCUGACCUUGAGUAGAGCUGAGCAUCAGCAAUGCCAUUUAGGUCAAAUUACUUUAUCUGGGCUCUGAGCAAACUUAGCUGCUCCGGGAAGCUCUCAGCAACUUGAAAGAUUAGGUUCUAUGUGCAGUCUCUUGGCCAAAAUUGCAGAUUUUAGCCAUAAUCCCUGACCAAAUCUCACUGAUAUGGGCCCAACUCUCCCACACAAUUGUACAGAUUUUGAGGCAAAAUCUGCACAGAUGUUGUCAAUGGUCCCAGCUGAUUUCUAUUACCCCAGAUCAUAUGCAGAUACUUUGAGAGAAAGAUAGCACAGGAAAAUCUUGCCAAAUUACAGUAAGUGUAGCAUAAUACUAGGUCCUGUUUACACAAUAGCUAUGUCUUUGCUAGUAUUUGUCUUCAAACUUCUCACCAUACACUACCACUGGUAGAAGACAACCAGUAGUGUUAACAGUAGGAGCUCUAGUAUAGACAAACAGUAGGAACAAUAGUGUAGAUUGGCUGCUGGCAUUAAAACUCUAGAGGCCACCAGAAAUUUGUCUACACUUAUCUGUUCUCCAUAUUGCUAUCAGCAGUGGCAUCAGCAUGAGAACAGGGCUGGGAAAUUUGCAGGGAAAUGUUAGUGUAAACAUGGUUGCAGUGGUGCAAGCA